GGGGGCGACAGGUUUCGACAAGAUCCUAAACAAAACAAGGCAAACCGAGCGCAAUCUCGCAAAUCUUGCAAAACGAAAUAAGUGCUAACUUAUUCUCAAAAGCAAAAAGCGCGGUAGCUUCGCUAUUUAGCGCUCCAGCUUACGCUCUCGCUUAAAGCUGAGAGCCAUCCGGACCCUUGAUGCCUAAUAGAGGAAUUCGGGUGUCAUCUUAUUGGGCUAAGCAGUUAAAACGCCUUGAUUGACUGUCGAAAAAUAUAAAGGCAAAGAUUGAAAAUAUUUUGUUCGGUUUCGAGUUUUCAAUCUUCAAAUUUAAAUCGGACUAAGUUUGUAGAAUUGUUUUGCGCCGGAUUUUUGGACGGGGGUUCAAUCUCCCCGCCUCCACCC
rfam:Parcubacteria group bacterium CG1_02_44_65 cg1_0.2_scaffold_16005_c, whole genome shotgun sequence.